CGUGAGAUCAUGACCUGAGCCAAAAUCAAGAGUCUGAUGCUUAACAGACUGAGUCACCCAGGUGCCCCUUGUUUGUUUCUGUUUUUGUUGUUUUGUUAAAAAGUGUGGUAGUCAGAACACUGCUUCUCCCAGGCCCUCAUCCCUGGAACCUGGGAAUGUGUUACCGUACGUGGCAAAGGAGACCAGAUGUGAUUAAGUUCAGGGUAUGCAUGUGGGAGAUUAUCCAGAUUGGUUCAGUGUAAUCACGAGGCUUGUUCUUAGGAAAAAAUAGUCAGGAGAGUCAAAGAAGGAGGUGCGAUGACAGAGCAGAGGUUGGUAGUGAGAUUGCAGGCUGUGAAAUGGAAGAGGGCCACAAAGCCAAGGGAAGAGGGGGGGGGGGGGUGCUCUAGGAACUAGAAGACGCAUGGAACAGAUUCACUUCUAGAGCUUCCAGAAGGAACUCAGCCUUGCUGAUAUUUCGACGUUAGUCUACUUGAGAUUUGCAGCCUUGUGGAACUUGGAUGUUAGUCUACUUGAGAUUUAUUACCUUACAGUCCAGGGGUCAGAAAUUUGUAUUGUUUAAGCCACUAAGUUUGUGGUAAUUUGUCACAGAAGCGACAAGAAACAAAUACAUCAGCUUUAUCGAGAUAGAAUUUAUAUACCACACACCUGACUCUUCUAAAGUAUACAGUAAAUGGUUUUAGUAUAUUUACAGACUUAUGUAACUCUAAAACUUCCGAAAAAUGGAACAAAAACAUGAAGUGAAAAAUAAAUGAUCUUUGGAUCACAUGGUGCUCUCCUCACCGUUGUUGUUUGAAUGAAGAACACAGACUGUGUUCAGGGAGGUUUGGGGACAGUACUGGUACAUGGUCACAGGAACAGGAGCCUCUAGAACAGGUAAAUAUUUGCUUUUCCUUAUCUUAGUAGGGUAACUUUUUCUGGUAACUCUUUACACGUUUCCCUCGAUGGCGUGUAAGGUACUAUUUUCUGGCAUUUAAGUCCGUUUUCUUGAUGUUAGCUUAUCAAACUUACAAAUCAUAGAUUUCUAACCUGCUGCUAAGACCCCACGCGCUAUUCUAUACAACGAAUACAAAUUUCUUGAACUGACUAAGAAACAGACCUUGUCUUGUAUAUUUUCAGUAACUUUAUAAACCUCUACUUCAAGGAAUGUGUUGCAUGUAGAAAUACUUUCGAAUACCUGCUAAUUGGGGGUGGUGGUCGGGUUAUUCGGUUCCCAACAUUGAGUUGUUCCGAGGGGCGCCUUCUGCACGUGUGUCCUUAGGAUCCUGCAGAAUAAGGUAGCCAUUUUCUGGCCCAAUUUUAAGGUAGAUUUUUUAAAGCUGGUAUAUUACAGACCUUCCAAAUUAUCUGUAUGCCAGUCAUCUCAGAUUCUCCCUCUCCUUGAAACAGAUUCGGGUUCAGAUCCCAGGUGUGGUGAUGGCCCGCCAUGGCAUUUUUCUGUUUGCUGACCCAGAAGAAGGAGAGACUUUGAAUCUGCCGGAUCAUUUGUUGACUCAUUUACCUUUGCCAGGAAGCUCCUUUUUGUUAAUUAAAAUAAAAUCUGUUUGCAUUUCAGCAUAUCUUUUUUUCCUCCCAGUAACAGUAGCGAUUUGGUCCUCAAUUUGUAGUUAAAACAAAAUACAGGUGCAUAGCUUUAAGAAAGAAAAAAAGACAAAACAACAGAAGCACAGCCCCUGACGUCUGGAGCUGGCGGGUCCUCACGGGUAGGCCGUGGCACUCUCCUGUUGGACAUAAGGAGUCUCAAGAACACCCACGUCAGACAAGGUCACUGUUAGACCAUGAGAGAACGCGACACAGCAAGACCCCGUUUUAAAUUUGUCUAAGCACAGACAAGAACGAGGGCACCGUGCAAACCCACAGACGCUGAGUCUUGGCUAAAAUGAACGACUGUCACUUCUUUGCCCAUUACACCUUUAUCUUCCAUUUAGUCUGCCCUGCAGAUAUUUAUGUUUGUGGAGACACUCAAUCCUCACGUUGCCUUCGCUGAGUUCACAGCAUCCAAUCCAGUGAACUCAGGCCCUCAGAUCCUCUUCCGAAUCCCCCGACCCAAGCUCGCAUCUGCUCUCGGUGCCCUCAGACACCCUUACUGAUACCCCACGGCUCCCCCUGGUGUGCACUCUCCCUCACUGCAGUGAGUAACGAACCUGAGCCGCCCCACUGUACGUGUGUUCCUGGUGCUCUUUGGCUGAAGACGCUGACAGCGUAAAGAUAAAAACCAUGAUACGAAGCGAUGUAAAAAUUGUUUGACUCACUGGGAAGAACCCACAGAAGUUAUUGGAAAGCAUAAAUGUUGUUCCUUACUGUGUGUGUGUUUGUAUAUGUUCUCUGUCUUGUUUAAUAUAUCACGAAUUAUAAGCCGGACUGACUGCAUAAUUUAUGAGGCUAAAUGAAAAUGUGGGGCCCUUUGCUUGAUAGUCAUUAAAAAUUUUGAGACAGUGAGGGGCACCUGGGUGGCUCAGUCUGUGAAGCAUCUGACUUUGCUGCAGGUCACGGUCUCACGGUUCCGUUCGGGAGUUUGAGUCCCCCACGGGGCAGGCUCAGGCCCUGCUUCAGGCAAGCUUGAGCCCCGUUGUGGGUGAACCCUGCUCCUGUCUCUCCCUCUCCCUCUCUGUCUGUCCCUCAUGGGAUUCUCUUUCUCCUCCCUGCUCCUUGCUCACUCGUGCUCUCUCUCUCUCUC